GGGCACACUCUCUCAAUCCCUCGUAGCUCUCACUCUCUCCCAAUCCCUCAAAGCCAGUGCUGAAUUCAGAUCAAUUCACGUAAUGGUCUUCCCAUUUACCCUCGCAUGGAGGGUAGCUGCUCUCUCUCCAAAAUAGCGACCUCCUCUUCCUCUUUCACAGCAGCUGAACCUCACACGAGACUAGCUCAGAAAGACUGAUAUUGCCCUACCAACCAUCUCAAUCAUAGGUGUGCCACAGAGGGAAGAACCAAUCAACCAUCAACAAUAGCACGUGGGUGGGGUUCAGACUAGGACCUUGCGCCUUGACUUCCUUGUUUUCCAUGGUCAUGAGUCACUCUUGGAAGGCUCUUUUAGAUGGUGGAGGGUGAGAGAUUGACUGCCAAAUGCUGAUGAAGUGGCAGCUCAAAGGAAAGGGUGAAGGGAAGGGUGUUGCUGAGUGGUGGUCGUUUGAUGCCAUCGGUUUUGUGUAUUUUCUUGUGGGGAAACUUUUGGUCAAUUUUCCAUAAUACAUUUGAGGGUCUCUUAGGGAUUGUAUGGUGAUGGAGGUGGCAUGAGGGUAUGGGUCAUUUGAGAGUAGAAAAUCAAACAAAAAUGCAAGGCAUUUGGUUUCCAUCCAACUAGUGUUUAGGUGCAUUCGAUUUUUGGGUUUUUGGCUUGGUUGUGGGAACCAAUUUCGUCCACCACUAAGUCUGCAUUGAGAAGGGUAUUUUGAGGUGAUAAAAGACAAUAAUUCCCUUGCAAAA